AUGGACCCGUGCCCGUUCGUGCGGGUGCUGGUCGGCAACCUCGCCCUCAGAAUGCCGGUCGCGCCGCCCGCCGCCGGCGCCGGCGCCGGCGUCCACCCCUCCACCUCCCCCUGCUAUAUCAAGAUCCGCCUCGGCAAGAUGCCCUGCCAGACCGCCGCCGCCCCGCUCGUGCUCUCCGACGCCGCCGAGCAGCCGCCCUCCGGCGCACUCGCCGCGGCCUUCCACCUCUCCAAGGCCGAUUUGGAGUGGUUCGCCCGCAAGCCCUCGCUCUUCUCCCCCUCCCGCGGCGCCGCCACGCUCAAGGUGUCCGUCUACGCCGGCCGCAAGGGCACCACCUGCGGGGUCAGCUCCGGGCGGCUGCUCGGGAAGGCCACCAUCUCGCUGGAUCUCAAGGGCGCCGAGGCCAAGCCCGCGGUGCUGCACAGCGGCUGGAUUUCCGUCGGGAGGCGCGGCGUUGGCGGCAAGGGUGGUGGGUCCGCGGCCGCGGAGCUCAGCCUCACCGUCCGCGCGGAGCCUGAUCCGCGGUUCGUGUUCGAGUUCGACGGCGAGCCGGAGUGCAGCCCGCAGGUGAUGCAGGUCCGGGGCAGCAUGAAGCAGCCCAUGUUCACCUGCAAGUUCGGCUGCCGCACCAACAGCGACCUGCGGAGGUCGGCCGCGCAGACGGAGCGGGAGGCGGCCGGGAAGGAGCGCAAGGGGUGGUCCGUCACGGUGCACGACCUCUCGGGCUCCCCCGUCGCGCUCGCCUCCAUGGUGACGCCCUUCGUGGCCUCGCCGGGGACGGACCGCGUGAGCCGCUCCAACCCGGGCGCAUGGCUCAUCCUCCGCCCCGCGGGCGACGGCGCGUGGGAGCCGUGGGGACGCCUCGAGUGCUGGCGCGAGCGCGGCGGGGCGGGGUCGUCCGACAGCCUCGGCUACCGCUUCGACCUCCUCGUCCCCGGCGUCGACCACGCCGUCCCCAUCGCGGACUCCACCAUCGCCGCGUCAAAGGGCGGCAAGUUCGCGCUCGACCUGACCGCGGCGCAGCCCCUGAGCCGGGGGAGCACCCCGGGCUGCAGCCCGCGCGGCAGCGGAGACUUCAGCCAGUGGCCUCUGGGGAACUACCGCGGGUUCGUGAUGUCAGCCUCGGUCGAAGGCGAGGGCCGGUGCAGCAAGCCCACGGUGGAGGUCGGGGUGGCGCACGUCGGGUGCGCCGAGGACGCGGCGGCGUUCGUGGCGCUGGCGGCGGCCGUGGACCUGAGCAUGGACGCGUGCAGGCUCUUCUCGCACAAGCUCAGGAAGGAGCUCUCGCACCUGCGGUCCGACGUCCUCCGGUGA
rnacentral:rRNA from 1 species